rnacentral:rRNA from 1 species
GAUGAACGCUGACAGAAUGCUUAACGCAUGCAAGUCGAUGGGGAAGUGGUGCUUGCACCAUGGCAACCAUGGCGGACGGGUGAGUAACGCGUAAGGGACUUACCUGCAGGACUGGGAUAACAGGGGGAAACUCCUGACAAGACCGGAUAAUGUCAUGGAGCUGCAUGGCUUUAUGAUGAAAGGAGACGCCUGCGGAGAGCCUUGCGUCCUAUUAGCUAGUUGGUGAGGUAAUGGCUCACCAAGGCGAAGAUAGGUAGCCGGCCUGAGAGGGUGGACGGCCACAAGGGGACUGAGAUACGGCCCUUACUCCUACGGGAGGCAGCAGUGGGGAAUAUUGGACAAUGGGGGCAACCCUGAUCCAGCAAUUCUGUGUGCACGAAGAAGGUUUUCGGAUUGUAAAGUGCUUUCAGCAGGGAAGAAGUAAGUGACGGUACCUGCAGAAGAAGCGACGGCUAAAUACGUG